rnacentral:rRNA from 1 species
UGGGGAAUUUUUCGCAAUGGGGGCAACCCUGACGAAGCAACGCCGCGUGGAGGAUGAAGGCCCUAGCGGUUGUAAACUCCUGUCUAGCGGGACGAAGGUAUUGGAAUCGAAUAGAUUCCGAUAUUGACUGUACCGCUGGAGGAAGCUCCGGCUAACUCCGUGCCAGCAGCCGCGGUAAUACGGAGGGAGCAAGCGUUACUCGGAAUUAUUGGGCGUAAAGGGCGCGUAGGCGAUUUGACAAGUCGGUUGUGAAAGCCCAGGGCCUAACCCUGGAAGUGCAACCGAGACUGUUGAAUUUGAGUAUAGGAGAGGAAGGCAGAAUUCCCGGUGUAGCGGUGAAAUGCGUAGAUAUCGGGAGGAAUACCAGCGGCGAAGGCGGCCUUCUGGACUAUAACUGACGCUGAGGCGCGAAAGCUAGGGUAGCAAACGG